rnacentral:lncRNA from 1 species
CAAUGAGCAAAGCCCAUACCGCAUAGUCAGCUAUAAAAGGCCCUGAUAAGACAAUGUAAAACAAUUCAAACGAGAAAACAAACGGCCUUAUUUAUAUAAAAAAAUGAACGAAAAACAAAUAUGUAACACAUAAACAAACGACAACCACUGAAUUACAGGCUCCUAACUUGGGACAGGCACAUACAUAAAUAAUGUGGCGGGGUUAAACAUGUUAGCGGGAUCCCAACCCUCCCCCUAACCUGGGA